GACGAACGCUGGCGGCGUGCUUAACACAUGCAAGUCGAGCGGUAAGGCCCUUCGGGGUACACGAGCGGCGAACGGGUGAGUAACACGUGGGUGAUCUGCCUCGCACUCUGGGAUAAGCCUGGGAAACUGGGUCUAAUACCGGAUAUGACCACUGAUCGCAUGGUUGGUGGUGGAAAGAUUUAUCGGUGCGAGAUGGGCCCGCGGCCUAUCAGCUUGUUGGUGGGGUAAUGGCCUACCAAGGCGACGACGGGUAGCCGACCUGAGAGGGUGACCGGCCACACUGGGACUGAGACACGGCCCAGACUCCUACGGGAGGCAGCAGUGGGGAAUAUUGCACAAUGGGCGAAAGCCUGAUGCAGCGACGCCGCGUGAGGGAUGACGGCCUUCGGGUUGUAAACCUCUUUCGACAGGGACGAAGCGCAAGUGACGGUACCUGUAGAAGAAGCACCGGCCAACUACGUG
rnacentral:rRNA from 3 species